AGAAUCUAACGUACUGGCAGCUCUUGGCUGUUCUGUCCUAACAGUAAAUGAACAGGGUCGACGGCAAGCUUUAAAACCUAUGAUGUUCUUCAUGCCACAUUGUGAAGCUGAACUGUAUGACAAUCUUCUGGAGGCAAAUUGGAGGCCUCAUCUAUUGAGUAAUAUUAUAUUGUUUGGAAACAGUUUCGAGGCAUAUGAGCAACACUUGUCAGUGUGCAAAAACCUUACUCUUGCUGAUUCUAGGAAGCAUAUCCUGGCAAUCAGGCAGUUCGUAAAAGAGCAUGCAAUCAACUCUUUUUCAGAUGAUUUUUUUCGAGCCUUCCAUGGUUCCAGUUGGCAUUUUUUUAAUAUUGAUCCUCAUACAGAUUUAUGUGAUGCUAAACUAUGAAUAUCAAAUUUGUAUUAAAAUGUAGGAAAAUUCUCUCCUUCACCUUUUGUUUUCUGGAAUUAUAGCCUGCUGUUAAGCUCAAUUUCAAUCUUCUGGAGGCAAAUUGGAGACUUGAUCUAUUGAAUAAUAUUAUAUUGUUUGGAAACAGUUUCGAGGCAUAUGAGCAACACAUGUCAGUGUGCAAAAACCUUACUCUUGCUGAUUCUAGGAAGCAUAUCCUGGCAAUCAGGCAGUUCGUAAAAGAGCAUGCAAUCAACUCUUUUUCAGAUGAUUUUUUCCGAGCGUUCCAUGGUUCGAGUUGGCAUUUUUUUAAAAUU
rnacentral:lncRNA from 1 species